rnacentral:rRNA from 1 species
CUUGGUGACAGGAGCGGCGGAGGUACACCCGGCAACAUCCCGAACCCGGCAGUUAAGCCCGCCAGCGCCGAUGGUACUUGGGGGGCAGCCCCCUGGGAGAGUAGGUCGUCGCCAAGA